rnacentral:rRNA from 1 species
UACAGAGGGUGCAAGCGUUAAUCGGAAUUACUGGGCGUAAAGCGUGCGUAGUCGGCUUUUUAAGUCGGGUGUGAAAUCCCCGGGCUCAACCUGGGAAUUGCAUUCGAUACUGGAUGGCUAGAGUUCGGCAGAGGGAAGUGGAAUUUCUGGUGCAGCGGUGAAAUGCGUAGAUAUCAGAAGGAACAUCAGUGGCGAAAGCGACUUCCUGGACCAGAACUGACGAUCAGGCACGAAAGCGUGGGGAGCAAACAGG